rnacentral:rRNA from 1 species
GACGAACGCUGGCGGCUUGCUUAACACAUGCAAGUCGAACGGACAGGCCCUGCUUGCAGGGUCCUCUAGUGGCGAACGGGUGCGUAACACGUGGGUGAUCUCCCCUGCACUUCGGGAUAAGCCUGGGACACUGGGUCUUAUACCGGAUAGGAGCCCUUUUUAGUGUGAUGGUUGGAAAGUUUUUUCGGUGUAGGAUGAGCUCGCGGCCUAUCCGCUUGUUGGUGGGGUAAUGGCCUACCAAGGCGGCGACGGGUAGCCGGCCUGAGAGGGUGGACGGCCACAUGGGGAAGGAGAUACGGCCCAGACUCCUACGGGAGGCAGCAGUGGGGAAUAUUGCACAAUGGGCGCAAGCCUGAUGCAGCGACGCCGCGUGGGGGAUGACGGCCUUCGGGUUGUAAACUCCUUUCGCUAGGGACGAAGCGUUUUGUGACGGUACCUAGAUAAGAAGCACCGGCUAACUACGUG